UUAUAAUACUGGCUUCUCUAGGAGGAUUCAGCUUUUGUAGUUAAUAUGCAACUGCUGGAUGAGAAGGUGAUUCUGUCUGAGUUUUCCUUGAAGAUGAUGAUUCCCAGCUGGAGCAAAUGAAAGAUUUUAGAAAUUCUUAUCACAGUCAUCAACUGAAAACAGAUUGCUAACAUAUCUUUCUGUGUAUUUGCAGAGCAUUUUCACAGGUUCACAAGGAAAGACAAGUUAAUCUUGAAUCCAUUUACAUGAAUACUGAAGAACUCUGCAGACUUGCAGAGGGGCUAUUAUAUCUAAUAUCUCCCAGUAAUUCACAGCAAUUUCUACGUGUAAUUCAGUAAUCCUGGUUUAUCCCAGGGAACACAGAAACCUACAGAAGAAUUUCUCCAAAACCAGAAGUAUUCCUUCUGAAUAAGCCCAGCUUUUAAGUUCCUGAAGAAGUAAGGCAGGAACUGGACAGAAACCAAACCAAAAUCUCAUGCAAAUGGGCUGGGCACCUUUUAGAUGCAUACGGGAAGUAUGAAUAAGUGAAUAUGUGGCUCUAAGUGACUACUAAAGCUUGAUUGCCUCAAGCAACUCAGUGGCUAUGGAAGAGGCCAGAACUCUCUGGUUACCUAUCGGAGUGGCUGCUGCCUCCAUGCCUUGAAAUACAUGGCAGUUCUACUGGCCAGUUACAGGCUCAUUCUUUCUGGACCAGAGUAAUGGAGCUUGUCUUGAACUGGGUGCUGGCAUGAAAGAUGAAGGGCUACUGGCUGGUGACUCCUGCCUUAAUAGCAGAAGCAGUAUGGGGAAAGUCCUAAAUAUUUUCACUUGCUCCUAUGAAAGUAAUAGAACAAUAGGGAUUAAAACUUUCAUCCCUAUUGGAAGGGACCAUAUCUCUUUAUUGAUCCAACCUUCCAAUUUGUAUAACAGUGAAGUUGGGGUGUUUUGCCACAUUUCUUAGUGUGUUUUCUAAACAAAUUAUAUAGAUAAUGGGAGAAUUUUCAAGGUAUGUAAAUACAAUUGAUCUUCCUGUGUAAAUCUAACAUCUUGGUAGAUACAACUAUUUCUACUAUGCAUCCAUUUGGUAUAUAAAAGUGAGUCCUUGUUAACGAAGCACUUUGAAAAUGAAGCCUAUUUGUUUUUAAGGCAGCAGUCAAUAUCAAAGAUAGUCUUCCAGGUAACACUAUGUUCCUUUUUCAUUCAAGUCUUUUAGGCUAAUGUGCAAAGCUCAGUUAAUCAGUUUUGCACUGUUGUGAGAUACAAUGUUAAAUUAUUUGAAGUUGUUAGUUCAAACAGUUUAGGGAGAUUCCACAAUAAAUUAUUUCAUCUACUGUCUCAAGAAUCUCUUUCUCUUAGCAUUAAGAAAACUUAAGUUAUUAAUCUGGAUAUACUGUAUAAGGCUAAAUAACAGACAGAUACAUAGGGUGAAUGUGAAAGAAGGACCAGACAACCUUUCCAUAUCCUAUUAUUACAACUGUUGAAUAUCCUUUCUCUGAAAAAGUUUUAGGUGGAUGUGCUUUUUGCUCUUUCAUGAUUAUUUAAGCAUGACUUGUUAAAGACUUCACCAAAAAUAUACAUUUUCCUCUCUUCAUGAAAUUUUAAACUACACAGGUGCAGAAUGUUGCAUUUCUUACUGCUAUCCAUGCUUGUUUGGGGACCUGCUUAUUGUUCAAAGAUUUCAGUACACUUCUUUUAAGCAAAGUCUUGAAUUCUAUAAUUAAUGAGCUUGCUUAUUACUUCAGUUCUUUGCCUUUGAAGCAGAAAGUUUAUCUGAAGUGUUUCUAAAGUUCCCCUACAUCCCUUGGAAAACUUUGGAAAAAAAUGAAUAACAAAUAUGUGAAGACUUUCGGUUUUUCUCUAGGAAAAGAGAGGUUGUCUUGUUUAAAUUAUACAGUAAGCUUAAGUAGAUAAUUUUCCACAAUGAAUUGGUCAGCCUAAAAUUUCUAUAAGCGUUCACCCUGCGGUAAAGGUUGAAUUUAAAGAUGUUAAUGUUUUCUGCAUUUUUCUUGGUGUUCUUCCAACUACACAUUUUGAAUCUUAGGUUUCACAUAGUUGUUCAUGAAAUUACUGUGGAUCUUUUAUAUAAGUUUCAAAUAAUUUUUUAAGAAAUACAAAACAACAAAAUUUUUUUGAGAGCAAAGGCUUGUAAAGAAAAUGUUUCUCAGUAAAGGAUACUUUUCUUCUCCAGAAGACACAGGUUUUUUUUUGAAAAUGAUAUGCCUCUUUACUUUUGUAAGGCAUUUGCGGGAAAUAUUAUAACACAGAAUAUUUUUCUGUCUCUGUAACUUCUUUAUGCUUUGUAAAUGCUUUUUUGCCAAGUUUGAAUGAAAAAUUGAAUAUAAUAGGAAUAAUUUAUUGUCCUGGGUAUUUAUUUGAAUCAUUGAUUCCUUGUUAAGUGAAAUUUUUUCAUGAGCCAUAUUCUAUUGGGCAUGUAUAUGUAAUAUAUCUGGUCGGUGAAAGAGAUGUCAGUUUUGGUAAUGCAUUUUUCCGAGCUUUAUUUGAACUGAUACAGAAGGUGGAAUGAGCUGCUGUAACCACAAUGAAGUUGUUAGCUGUCAUUUAUUAAUGUAUAAAUUAAUAAAUUUAAUUUCUGAAAGACAAAUUACCUCAUAAUGGGAUUUGGUGCCUGAUGCAGCAGUUUCUGAUGGGCUUGGACAGACUUGUGCAAAAUUUUGUAUAGUGUAACAUAGAUUAUGGAAGGGAUAUCUUUCCAUACAUCUUUGAAGGCCUCUAGUAAGUAUCUAAAUAAAGACUAGUCCCUCAUAAAUUUUUGAUGCUUGUCAUCUCCUUCUAAACCCUCAUGUAUAAAUUAUAUUCUUUUCUGAAGCAGAGAUGUUUUGAAUAUUUUUCUUUUAAAAUUUCUCUGCAAUCUCAUUGGAUUUAUGCUGUUAUUAUCAAUCAAAUAUACCUACGGAAAGAAUAAUAUCAUCCUAAACUUCUGCGUUUCUUGUGUGAUGGCAAACGUAGUAUGAAACACCUAUGGAUGCAGUGUGGGUUAAAUAUUAAACAUAUUAAACUAUUUUUGUGUAAUAGCCUUUUCCUAUGGCGAUCUUUGAGAAGACUUCUGUUUUGACUUUGUUGAUGUUAAGGCUUUGCAUUAACUGUCGUUUCCUUGGAUGCUUACAUUUAUAAAACAAUCUUAGUUUUUAUUUCUUAAGAAAACAGGACUGAUUUUAAAAGAGGAAAGACCUUAGCCCAACUCUGUGUAACUUCAAAUUUUGAAAGAUUUAGGAAACAUGAAGUACCAGCGUAUGUCAGUUUGUAACAUGUGAUACUUGGGCUCUCAGGAAACAAUGCAGACGAUACUUGUACUGAAGGUAUUAGGAGAGCAUGAUGCGGAGUUUAAGUAUAUGAGAUCUAAUAUGCAGCAUCUGAUAGUUGUGUAUCACCAUGAAGGCAAACAUCAGGUUCAUCUACAAUAAGCAAAGUAAAAUGUUGAGUUCUUGAGAUUUAGUGUUUUAUUAGAGGGGAAAACCUCAUCACCCAAUUAUCUUCCCCAGCUCUUCUGUUUCUGCAUA